ACAAAAUGUGACGCCAAAUAAAACCACUGGUAGCGCUGAAAACAUUCCCAUGUUCAGUACUUCAGUGUGAGGAACCUUUUAGUGGCCGUCCCCCGUCCCCCACCGACCAUGUCGUUUCCAGACCAUUAUAUCUUAAACCAGGGGUUUCCAAACUUUUUCAUUCGAGGGCCACGUAAAAUAUCAAAAGCUCUUGGAGGGGCCAAAGUGUAUGAACACAUAUAAGUCGUUCAGAUCGUACAUUAGGAUAGUGCCAAUUGACACCUCGUCCUUUGCCUCUCCGUAGUUUGGAGACCCAUGUCUUCGUUCGUGGUCAAGACAUUCCUUCGAGUUAUCGAAAAUUCUACUAAUAGACGUUCGAGUUAACGAGGUUCCACUUUAUAUUAUUCGAUUCUUGCAGUAUAAAAUGUUUUCCAACGUGUGCUCCUCAGUUCUCGUUAUAUAAUUAUCGUCGAGACAAUAUUACGAUUACGUUUUUCUCGGUAAUCGGUAUGAAGAAAGGUUUUACGGAAUUUCAAUCCGAAAGCCUCGUUCUGACGAGCUCGUCUAUAAAUAGAAUGAUUGAAGGGUUUUCCACGAAUCCAGUUUGUGCAUACUUUGUAUGGAACAGAACACGGGACCGAUCGCUUCAGUCACACAACACGGGACCGACCGGUACCUUAUACGAUAAAUAAUAUCUCUACGGUUGGCAUUUAUUCAUUUAUGAUAUUAUGCGAUUUUGUUAUUGUCUCUCCGUUGUAGUGCGUGGCGUAUACGACUUGGCUAAUAAUACGAUAUUGAUAGUGUUAUAAAAUCUCAUGAAAUAUUUGAUUUUGAUGAAAAGUAAAAUAAUCAUAUUUUAAUUUAAAACUAUAGAGGGAAGUACAGUUAACGCCUCUACUUAUUUAAAUUUUAAGUGAAAAUGUUAUAGAAAUAUUGCUUAUAUUAUACUUUCAAUAAAUUACAUAAUAAUUAUUCUAGUGUCUACCUUAUAAUUAUAUUAUAAUAUUAUCUUCACUACAUCGUGAUUGAGAAUUAAAUAUCGGAUAAUCACUAAUCAGUUUAACAAAUAAGCUUCAGAGUGAACAUUCGCCAUUACGAAAAGAAUACAUUUUUUUGGAUCAUUGUCUCUGAAGUUUGAUAUUAAUUGAAGAACCUGGAUUCUGAU